UUCGGAUUGCAGGCUGCAACCCGCCUUGCAUGAAGUUGGAAUUGCUAGUAAUCGCGGAUCAGCAUGCCGCGGUGAAUACGUUCCCUGGCCUUGUACACAUCGCCCGUCACACCAUGGGAGCCGGUAAUACCCGAAGUCAGUAGCCUAACCGCAAGGGGGGGCGCUGCCGAAGGUAGGAUUGGCGACUGGGGUGAAGUCGUAACAAGGUAGC
rnacentral:rRNA from 1 species